CGGCGGACGGGUGAGUAACGCGUGGGUAACCUGCCUCGUACAGGGGGAUAACAGUUGGAAACGGCUGCUAAUACCGCAUAAGCGCACAGUACCGCAUGGUACAGUGUGAAAAACUCCGGUGGUGUGAGAUGGACCCGCGUCUGAUUAGCUAGUUGGCAGGGCAACGGCCUACCAAGGCGACGAUCAGUAGCCGACCUGAGAGGGUGACCGGCCACAUUGGGACUGAGACACGGCCCAA
rnacentral:rRNA from 1 species